rnacentral:rRNA from 1 species
GACAGAGGGUGCAAGCGUUGUUCGGAAUUAUUGGGCGUAAAGCGCACGUAGGCGGUUUUGUAAGUCGGACGUGAAAGCCCAGGGCUUAACCCUGGAAGCGCAUCCGAUACUGCACGACUUGAGUCCCGGAGAGGGUGGUGGAAUUCCUGGUGUAGAGGUGAAAUUCGUAGAUAUCAGGAGGAACACCGGUGGCGAAGGCGACCACCUGGACGGAGACUGACGCUGAGGUGCGAAAGCGUGGGGAGCAAACAGG